UUAAGCUACUAAGGGUGUACGGUGAAUGCCCUGGCAUCAGAAGGCGAUGAAGGACGUAGCUAGCUGCGAUAAGCCCCGGGGAGCCGCAAGCAGGCCGUGAUCCGAGGAUGUCCGAAUGGGGAAACCCAGGCGAUGAAUGCCGCCUAUCCUCUGCUGAAUACAUAGGCAGUGAGAAGCCCACGCAGGGAAGUGAAACAUCUCAGUACCUGCAGGAAUAGAAAUCAAUCGAGAUUCCCCCAGUAGUGGCGAGCGAAAAGGGAACAGCCUAAACUGUGCCGAUGUCAAGCCCGUGUGCGUUGUCGGCGUAGUGUUGUAGGCCUUCAUUGGACGGUGAUACGGAGCCGUCGGCGAGUUACAAAUUAGGAUCGUAGCAGAAUAGUCUGGAAAGGCUGACCAUAGAAGGUGACAGUCCUGUAUGUAAAACGACCCUAACUCGUUGAAUGGAGGUCCUGAGUACCACGGGGCCCGAGAAACCUUGUGGGAAUCUGGGACGACCACGUUCCAAGGCUAAAUACUCUCUGAUGACCGAUAGUGAACCAGUACCGUGAGGGAAAGGUGAAAAGAACCCCGGUGAGGGGAGUGAAAUAGAACCUGAAACCGUACACCUACAAGCAGCGAAAGGGCUAUGCCCGCAAGGGAAUGCCUGAUCGUGUGCCUUUUGCUUAAUGAGCCUGCGAGUUAUUUAGCGUAGCAAGGUUAAGGCGAAGAGCCGGAGCCGUAGCGAAAGCGAGUCCGAAUUGGGCAUUGAGUUGCGCUGAAUAGACCCGAAGCGAAGUGAUCUACCCAUGGCCAAGGCGAAUCCGCCGUAACAGGCGGAGGAGGCCUGAACUGAUGUUAGUUGCAAAUGGCUCGGAUGAGCUGUGGGUAGGGGUGAAAGGCUAAUCAAACUUCGUGAUUGCUGGUUCUCCCCGAAAUAACUAGAGGGUUAGCCUCGUCUCAGCCGUGACGGAGGUAGAGCACUGAAUGAGCUAGGGGCGUUCCAACGCUACCGAACUCAAUCAAACUCCGAAUGCCGUUACUGGACGAACGGGAGUUAGACUACGAGUGCUAAGAUCCGUGGUCAAAAGGGAAAUAGCCCAGACCGUCAGCUAAGGUCCCUAAUCGUGAGCUAAGUGGAAAAGGUUGUAAGAUCGCUCAGACAGCCAGGAGGUUGGCUUAGAAGCAGCCAUCCUUUAAAGAGUGCGUAAUAGCUCACUGGUCGAGCGAUUUUGCGCCGAAAAUGUAACGGGGCUCAAGUUCACAACCGAAGCUACGGACUUGCAUCGCAAGAUGUGAGUGGUAGGGGAGCAUUCUCUGUGCGGUGAAGGUUGACCGACAAGGACAACUGGAGCGCAGAGAAGAGAUUAUGCAGGCAUAAGUAGCGAUAAACGAUGUGAGAAUCAUCGUCCCCGUAAGCCUAAGGUUUCCUGGCCUAUGUUCGUCAGGUCAGGGUGAGUCGGAUCCUAAGCCGAGGUCGACAGACGUAGGCGAUGGCAAACAGGUCAAUAUUCCUGUACCACCGUAUUGACGUUAUCAGCGAAGGGGGGACGCAGAAGGGUAGGCACCGCCGGGUCCCUGGAAUACCCGGUCCAAGCAUGUAGGCGGGAACUGUAGGCAAAUCCGCGGUUCCGUUAACGCCGAGAUGUGAUGGGGAGGCCGCAAGGCCAUAAACGGGCUGAUCCCACGCUGCCGAGAAAAGCCUCGUAGCGAGUCAGUACGAUGUCCGUACCGCAAACCGACACAGGUAGGUGGGUGGAAUACACCAAGGGGCGUGAGAGAACACUCCCUAAGGAACUAUGCAAUUUAGCCCCGUAACUUCGGGAGAAGGGGUGCCCUGCGUAAGUGAGGCCGUACAGGCCGAGCUGAACGGGGUUGCAAUAAAGUGGCUCUAGCGACUGUUUACCAAAAACACAGGACUCUGCAAACACGAUAGUGGAUGUAUAGGGUCUGACGCCUGCCCGGUGCUGGAAGGUUAACCGGAGGAGUUAGCCGCAAGGCAAAGCUUUGAAGGGAAGCCCCAGUAAACGGCGGCCGUAACUAUAACGGUCCUAAGGUAGCGAAAUUCCUUGUCGGGUAAGUUCCGACCUGCACGAAUGGCGUAACGACUUCCCCGCUGUCUCCAGCAUAGACUCAGUGAAAUUGAAUUCCCCGUGAAGAUGCGGGGUUCCUGCGGUCAGACGGAAAGACCCCGUGCACCUUUACUGUAGCUUUGCACUGGUAUUCGUGACUGUUUGUGUAGAUUUGGUGGUAGACUUUGAAGCUUCGGCGCCAGCCGAGGUGGAGUCGCAAUGUGAAAUACCACCCUAAUGGUUAUGGGUAUCUAACCGCGUCCCCUUAGCGGGGAUCGGGACAGUGCAUGGUGGGCAGUUUGACUGGGGCGGUCGCCUCCCAAAGAGUAACGGAGGCGCGCGAUGGUGGGCUCAGAGCGGUCGGAAAUCGCUCGUCGAGUGCAAUGGCAUAAGCCCGCCUGACUGCGAGACUGACAAGUCGAGCAGAGACGAAAGUCGGUCAUAGUGAUCCGGUGGUCCCGCGUGGAAGGGCCAUCGCUCAACGGAUAAAAGGUACGCCGGGGAUAACAGGCUGAUCUCCCCCAAGAGUUCACAUCGACGGGGAGGUUUGGCACCUCGAUGUCGACUCAUCGCAUCCUGGGGCUGAAGCUGGUCCCAAGGGUUAGGCUGUUCGCCUAUUAAAGCGGUACGAGAGUUGGGUUCAGAACGUCGUGAGACAGUUCGGUCCCUAUCUGUUGUGGGCGUAGGAGAGUUGAGAGGGGCGUUCACUAGUACGAGAGGACUGUGAAGGAUGAACCUCUGGUGUGCCGGUUGUCGUGCCAACGGCAGUGCCGGGUAGCUAUGUUCAGUUGGGAUAACCGCUGAAAGCAUCUAAGCGGGAAGCCUGCCUCAAGAUAAGCUCUCCCGGGGCGCAAGCCCCCUAAAGGACACUUGUAGACUACGAGUUUGAUAGGCUGGGUGUGGAAGGCCUGUAAGGGCUGUAGCUAACCAGUACUAAUCGUCCGUGCGGCUUAACAUC
rnacentral:rRNA from 1 species